UGAUGACUAACUUUGCAUAUCUGAAUUAUGUUUUAUUUAAGCAGAAUUCUGUAUGUUUGGCAAGGUUUCUUUGGAGAGGAACAAUUGUGUUCUUUAUAGGAACAUUUAUGGACACGUAUUUGAAAUAGAUUUUACGACCCCCCAAUUAGAUGCUGAUACAAGAUGUGAUCCUUGGUGCAUUGGCCUCAUAAAUAUAAAAAAAAGAGGUGAAUAUUAUAAGAAAAUUAUUUUAUGUAUAC